rnacentral:rRNA from 1 species
UACGUAGGGUGCAAGCGUUAAUCGGAAUUACUGGGCGUAAAGCGUGCGCAGGCGGUGAUGUAAGACAGUUGUGAAAUCCCCGGGCUUAACCUGGGAACUGCAUUUGUGACUGCAUGGCUAGAGUGCGGCAGAGGGGGAUGGAAUUCCGCGUGUAGCAGUGAAAUGCGUAGAUAUGCGGAGGAACACCGAUGGCGAAGGCAAUCCCCUGGGCCUGCACUGACGCUCAUGCACGAAAGCGUGGGGAGCAAACAGG